UGGGGAAUUUUGGACAAUGGGGGCAACCCUGAUCCAGCAAUGCCGCGUGAGUGAAGAAGGCCUUCGGGUUGUAAAGCUCUUUUGUUUGGGAAGAAAUCCUGGAUGCUAAUAUCAUCCGGGGCUGACGGUACCAAAAGAAUAAGCACCGGCUAACUACGUGCCAGCAGCCGCGGUAAUACGUAGGGUGCGAGCGUUAAUCGGAAUUACUGGGCGUAAAGCGUGCGCAGGCGGUUUUGUAAGACAGGUGUGAAAUCCCCGAGCGUAACUUGGGAACUGCACUUGUGACUGCAAGACUAGAGUGUGUCAGAGGGAGGUAGAAUUCCACGUGUAGCAGUGAAAUGCGUAGAGAUGUGGAGGAAUACCGGUGGCGAAGGCGGCCUCCUGGGAUAACACUGACGCU
rnacentral:rRNA from 1 species